rnacentral:rRNA from 2 species
GACGUAGGAUGCAAGCGUUGUCCGGAAUUAUUGGGCGUAAAGAGUUCGUAGGCGGUUAUCCAAGUCUGGUGUUAAAGCCCGAAGCUCAACUUCGGCAUGGCAUUGGAAACUGGAUGGCUAGAGUGUGGUAGAGGUAUCGGGAAUUCCUGGUGUAGCGGUGAAAUGCGUAGAUAUCAGGAGGAACACCGGUGGCGAAAGCGCGAUACUGGGCCAUAACUGACGCUGAGGAACGAAAGCCAGGGGAGCGAAAGGG